rnacentral:rRNA from 1 species
CACGGGGGUUGCGAGCGUUGUCCGGAAUUACUAGGCGUAAAGGGCAGGCAGGCGGAUCCAUAAGUUUAUCGUUUAAGGCGUCGGCUUAACCGGCGUAGGGCGGUAGAUACUGUGGAUCUGGAAUGCGGUUGGGGAAGACAGAAUUCCUGGUGUAGCGGUGGAAUGCGCAGAGAUCAGGAGGAAUACCGAAGGCGAAGGCAGUCUUCCAAGCCGUUAUUGACGCUCAACUGUGAAGGUGUGGGUAUCAAACAGGAUUAGAUACCCCGGUAGUUCCUGAGCGGG